rnacentral:rRNA from 1 species
AUUGAACGCUGGCGGAAUGCUUUACACAUGCAAGUCGAACGGCAGCACGGACUUCGGUCUGGUGGCGAGUGGCGAACGGGUGAGUAAUGUAUCGGAACGUGCCCAGUCGUGGGGGAUAACGUAGUGAAAAUUACGCUAAUACCGCAUACGAUCUAUGGAUGAAAGCGGGGGAUCGCAAGACCUCGCGCGAGUUGAGCGGCCGAUAUCAGAUUAGGGAGUUGGUGGGGUAAAGGCCCACCAAGCCAACGAUCUGUAGCUGGUCUGAGAGGACGACCAGCCACACUGGAACGGAGACACGGUCCAGACUCCUACGGGAGGCAGCAGUGGGGAAUUUUGGACAAUGGGCGAAAGCCUGAUCCAGCCAUUCCGCGUGCAGGAUGAAGGCCCUCGGGUUGUAAACUGCUUUUGUACAGAACGAAAAGGUUUCUACUAAUACUAGGAGCUCAUGACGGUACUGUAAGAAUAAGCACCGGCUAACUACGUGCCAGCCGCCGCCGUAA